rnacentral:lncRNA from 1 species
ACAGUCACUGGACUUCUCUUAUCCUGUUGCCACAUCUAAUCAAUUAGAGGAUCAGGCCAAAUCACUUUUUAAGUCUCCUAAAUUCUGGUUCUAUAAUUCUGAGUGCCUCCUUUUCUUAAUUCGAUCUGACUUCUGUGUUUCCAUAGUAACCAGCACUACUGUUUGGGCAGGAACAUAGUUUCCCUGUGAUGUAAUACACCCAUGACAGAGUACAGGUUAGGAGUUAAAGACUCUGGCUUAAUUAAUUAGGCAUUUCCUAUGGAGUGAUUAUUAUCCAAAGGGGUCCAAAAAGAUCAGUCACACACACAGCAACAGAGCAGUGGAAAGAACCUGCUUGGGAUUUAAGUAAGACAAGGUUCGAACCUUGACUUCACCACUGAUAGGAUGUGAGAUUCAGAUUGACAGGAAGAAAAAGAGGGAGGACAACAUGAUAAAGGCCCAGGGCUUGACAGGCCUCAGCUUGAUGUCCUGCUCAGGAACUCCAAGAGGACAAUACUCUAAAGACUGUCCCGUGACUGUCCACUCUGUACAUACAUGUGAGAGGAGAAGAAGCAAAACAGAUGUCCCCAAAGGAAGAACAAGAUGGGGCCCAUGCACACAGCAAAGGUUUACAAAGCCAAAGAUAUUUAAUUCCCUAUACUUGUGAAUUUUGAAGAAGGUGGUUCUUUAUAAACAGUAUAUCUUUUUUCUACAUACUUGCAGCAUCAUAGCCAUAAAACACUUUCUAAAACCACCAAUGAAAGUAUUGAGGGAGCAUGAAAGAACAAGUUUUGGAUUAAUACGUAAGAGACCUUUGUAAACAUCCAGAGAGGAAAGGGGCUGCCUCAGGAAGUAGUAAAUUUCCCAUUGCUACAGGUGUCCAAUCAUACACUGGACAAUGCCCCUUGUACGGACAUUAUAAACAAGAUUUAAGCCCUUGGAUUGAUAUGACAAGUCCCCUUUAAGAUCUCUCUCAGCUAUAUGGUUCUUCAAAUUUAUGUUGCCUACUAUGAUUCAUUUGUCUUUGCUUCCAUAACCUCCACACUCUCUCCCUCUAGCCCCGACAUUCAAGGUCUGCUUUAAGUCCCAGUUGAAUUAAGAGUGACUGAGAUUUGGAACCAAAAUAAGCUCAGGAGGUCUAUGGAGGACUAUGAUAUGGUGCUACCAUCAAUAAAUGUAAAACAAAGGCAUCAUAAAUAAAAAAUAAAAACAUCAGCAGAAUUGAGAAACAGGGACAAAAAGGGCUCCUUAUAUAUACUCAAUCAGCCAAGCUCUUUUCUGUUUCUUUUUGAAAACACACAUCCUCCCAUCCUCCCACCAUACGAAUCUAGCCUUUCCAAGGGGUUAAUGUUACCUGCCACAACCACAUACAACUGGCACAAAACAGACAAGUGUUUAAACAACAUAUGCU